rnacentral:sRNA from 1 species
GCUGAUUGCCCUUCCUGGGCGUUUCCUCCCUGUAAAACUUUUAGCCGCGCUGGCUUAGCGCGGCUUUUUUUUGCCUGGA